CAGUUGGUGGACCUGGUCGCGCUGUGCCGGGUGUGACACUACGGAAGGUCACCUCACCAAAGAGGCCCAUCAACAUGGAAGAAUAUUUCAGUGAAUCUUGACUCACCAAGCUCAGUGACUUUUCAUUGAAAAGGGAGAGCAGAUUACAUUAUCAAAAGCACCAAGUUGAAACAUUUGCAAGGUAGGUGAGAAAAAAAGCAUUCGUCAGCAUAUUUUGGAUUUUAUCAUUUUGACUUUAUUGCCUAUGGUCAGUUCUGCCAGUUUUUGUCUCCUUCUAAAAAUUGUUUCAAUCUGCUGAAUCUAUGGAAAUUUAAUAUUUUCCAUAGUGAAGGCUGAUAAGACAUCUGAGGAAGAAUUAAAAACAGAUGAUCUCUAAUUUAAGAAACAUUUGAUGCUAAUUACUUCUUACCUUUUCACACAACUUAAAUAUUGGUUAAUAUAUAGGAUUACAUUACUUUUUAAGUGAGAUUUUAAAGCUAAAUUGAUAAAGUAGAGAUCUAGUGAGAUAAUUAGAUGUUCAUACAAGAUUUGAAAAAUACAGACAUUCUUAGUCACACAAAAAUACCAAAAAGCAUUGUGAUAAUUCACUUUUUCUUAUUCUAAUUUGUAACAGCAUUUUAAUAUGGUCAGUAGAAUGGCUUCAGCAUAUUUACAAUCUUAAAGUUUUUAACUAGAAAACAGUUUGAUGUAUAGAUCUGUUACUCAGCAACAUUUUAGAUUUAAAACUUAAUUUAAUUUUAUAGCUAAUUUAAUUUUAUAGCAAAUUUAAUUGUAUAGCAUGUAAGGCAGUUUACAUUUGAUUUAAUAAAAUUAACACUUAGGCUUUUAUGAUAGCUUUCUAACUCAGGUAUCAGUGAUUUUCAGAAUGCAGAGAUUUUCAAACUGAAAUUUUUUUUGUCAUGAUGCUCUUGUGGCUAAGUUUAUACUUGGGUUAUUUCUUCUUUACACACACACACACACACACACACACACACACACACACACACACCCCAUAAUAUGAAAAAAUAAAGUCUGAAAGAAAAUAUACAAAUACAUUACUAUUUUUUGGACAGUGUAUAGAUUUGAGUGAUCUGUAGAACCUUCUUUAUUGUAUUAUACAGGCUUAAAUUUUUAAUGAUUACUUUAUAAUUCGGUAGAGUAUAGCUAUUUUCAUUUUCAAAAACAUAUAUAUGACAAUCCCAGUAUAGGUGAUACAUUGUUUUCACAAAAAUUUUAUAAUAAAUAUUGACAAUAAUUUUUUCCUAUCCUCUUGAAUCUGUAAAAACCUGCCAGAGCAAAUAUCCUGUUCUUUCCUUGGCAUUACUAAUUUGUUCAUGGUAUUGAUAUAAACCACUCAGUGGAAGUUACAGUGUAAUAACUGUAAACUGCAAGGGGUAUGUUAUGCUUAAAGGAUCCCAGGAAUGAUCCAAGACAAACCACAGACAUGGUAAACAGAAAUUAUACCUCUGCAGGAUCUUAGGACUCCUCUACACUGUUAACAAUUAUUGAAGACCCUUGCAAAGAACUUUGUUUAUGCAGGUUAUGUUGGUAUUUAUCAUAUUAGAAAUUGAAACAGAAAAAUUUAAAAAAUAUUUACUAAAUCAUUUAAAAACAAUGAAAACAUAUUACAUGUUAACAUAUGUAAUAUAGUUUUUCUGAAACAAAAUAAACAAAUAUGUAUGUAUACAUAUAUAGCGAGAAGAGUGGCACUGUUUUACAUUUUUGUAAAUGUCUUUAAUAUAAGGCUUAAUAGAAGACAGCUGAAUUCUCUUACCUGCUUCUGCAUUCAAUUGGAUGCAAUAUGGUAUUUUGUUUAAAGUAAAAUCUGUCUUUACACAAAUAUGUAAUUAUAGAAGGAAGGAGUAUUUUAAUAACUUUUUCAGUUGAUUGUGGAUAUUCUUUAAUAUUACAGUGAAUCUCAACAAAUGAUAGUCUGUUACAGAUUAGUUGCAUUGUGAAAUCUGAAACCAUAUAAAUCAACUUUUCAGACUUUUGAACCUAGCCUGUUUCUUAAGGAAGAUUUCUGAAAGGUGUCUAACUUUUGCUUUAAAAAAAUAAAUUGUAAAAUUUAAAUCAUAGUAAGACAAUCUCAAGCACAUUCUGAAGGAUAUUUUAAGUUUACUUUUCAUCAAAGUUACUUUAUAAAAUAUUCAAGCACUGCUUAAGUCUCUGAUCCUGAUUUCUUAAUGUUUAGAUUAAUUGAAUUUAAAGUUUAUUAUUUAUUAGAUGUUCUAGCUCUUAAAGUCUUUGCUUUGUGACUUUCUGGAGGUAAGUUUUUGUAUAUUAAUUAAGCAGAUGUAAACAGCAUAGGAAAAAAUAAAGGUUUGAUUAGUGAUUUUUUGGCAUGGUGCUCCACUAUUCUAGAUUUCUGUUAAGUACUAAAGAAAGUAAUUUCCAAACAAAACCUUUGCUUGAGCUUGAGAACCGAAAUACUGAUUUCAAAAAAAAAAUUGUGCAUCAUUUCACAAUUAUUGGCAAUGGUUCAAUGGUUUCAUCUGCUUUGAACGGUUUCUUCUCUAUCAUUAAGAGGUAUCAACCUAUGGGAUUACAAGCAUCUUGAAGUUGGCUUCUGAAUCGUCUUCAUUUUUGUGUACCCAGAAUGCUCAGUGCAAAUUUUGUUGAAUGUUGAAUGUAGUUUUAAACUGUAUUUGUGAUGGCAAAUAGUCCUAAAAGACUUUUCAUUAAGUUUCCUGGGAUGACCAACGGAAACAAGUCUGAACCUAUGUUUCUGAGUACAUUGAAAAGAAUAGCAAGUGUUUCAUAAAGGUUAAGUUUUAAGGAACAAGGGCUAUGCUUGGUUGGACUUUUCACAUGUGAAACUGCGUUCACAAGUCUUUAAUUUUAUCUGUGUCCAGCAGAUGGCACUAGUGCCUCAAAUAAAACUCCAGUUUGAAGAAAAUGUAAGGUAACGCAUACCUUAAAACUAAGCAGAUGUCAUGAAAAUCCAAGAGAAUAUCACACAAAUAUUCAGAUCUGUAUAGUUAAAUGAAACAUGAAAUUGUUGAAUAAGUAUUUAUCUUUUAAAAAAUUCUCUGAAUUUUAUGUUUGUGAAGGUUGAUCAUGGUGAUGUGAAACUCUACCAAAAUCUCCAUCUGCAGAGCGGAGGCAUGUUGCUGUAGAAGCGCACUGGAAGGAAACUCAGAUCACUGAGGUCCAGCCUCACUGCAGCCUUUGGUUCUUUCCUUGGCCCAUGAAGAGUCUCUUAGCCUCACUGAACCUAUUUUCCUCCUCUGUACAAUGUUCACAAUUAAGUCCUUGCUUAAUGCACAGUAGUGUGGGGAAAAUAUUAGAAUACCAUUUACAUUUGUAUGAUCUUUGAUAACUAAUGAAACCCUUCUCCUCUGGUUUUUCUUUUUUUCUCAUACAAAUGCAAUGAAGUAGUUGGCCUAGGCAAAGAAUUUAUGACUGAUCUCAAAAGCAAAUGCAACAAAACAAAAAUAGACAAAUGAGAUGAGGAAACUGAGCACUAAGACACUAAAUAACUUGCCCAGGGUCAUACGACAGGCAUGAGAGGUUUAUAUCAGGCAGUCUCCACCCCUGUUCCGAAGUCAAGAGGCUGACUCGGGUUGCUACUUCUUGACAGACCGGACCCCAGAUCGCCGAAGACCAUUUGGACACACUUCUAUCAAAUCCUGGCGGUCUCCUUCUAACAGGUAUGCAGUUUUCUCUGUAGACCCUUAAUACACAGAUAAGACUUGAAGGAAUUUAUCUGCAUUCCCUGAUUGGUGUGGCAAUGGAAGUCCCGCCCUGCAUCCCGACACUGAGCACAGCUGCAGCUUUCGCUUGUUCAUUCAUUCAGUAGAUAUUAUUUUCAUGCCUACUGAGUGGGAUGCUGCUCUAAUGAUACCCCGAAAUGUGGAAGUGACCUUGAAACUGUUUAACAGGCAGAGGUUGGAACUGUUUGGAGGGCUCAGAAGAAGACAGGAAGAUGUGGGAACGUUUGGAACUUCCUAGAGACUUGUUGAAUGGCUUUGACCAAAAUACUGAUAGUCAUAUGAACAAUGAAGUACAGGCUGAGGUGUUUUCAGAUGGAAAUGAG
rnacentral:lncRNA from 1 species